rnacentral:rRNA from 1 species
AGUGAACGCUGGCGGUAGGCCUAACACAUGCAAGUCGAACGGCAGCACAGUAAGAGCUUGCUCUUACGGGUGGCGAGUGGCGGACGGGUGAGGAAUGCAUCGGAAUCUACUUUUUCGUGGGGGAUAACGUAGGGAAACUUACGCUAAUACCGCAUACGACCUACGGGUGAAAGCAGGGGAUCUUCGGACCUUGCGCGAUUGAAUGAGCCGAUGUCGGAUUAGCUAGUUGGCGGGGUAAAGGCCCACCAAGGCGACGAUCCGUAGCUGGUCUGAGAGGAUGAUCAGCCACACUGGAACUGAGACACGGUCCAGACUCCUACGGGAGGCAGCAGUGGGGAAUAUUGGACAAUGGGCGCAAGCCUGAUCCAGCCAUACCGCGUGGGUGAAGAAGGCCUUCGGGUUGUAAGCCCUUUUGUUGGGAAAGAAAAGCAGCAGGUUAAUACCCCGCUGUUCUGACGGUACCCAAAGAAUAAGCACCGGCUAACUUCGUG